rnacentral:tRNA from 1 species
CAUGGAGUAGAUCAGCGGUAGAUCACCGGCACGACACGGCGGAGGGCGCGGGUUCGAUCCCCGCCUCCAUGG